rnacentral:rRNA from 1 species
ACUCAAAUGAAUUGACGGGGGCCCGCACAAGCGGUGGAGCAUGUGGUUUAAUUCGAUGCAACGCGAAAAACCUUACCUGGGUUUGGCAUGCCCGGACAACCCUAGAGAUAGGGCUUCCCCGAAAGGGGCCGGAGCACAGGUGCUGCAUGGCUGUCGUCAGCUCGUGUCGUGAGAUGUUGGGUUAAGUCCCGCAACGAGCGCAACCCUUGCUAUUAGUUGCCAGCAUUAAGUUGGGCACUCUAAUAGGACUGCCAUCGUUAAGAUGGAGGAAGGUGGGGAUGACGUCAAGUCCUCAUGGCCUUUAUAUCCAGGGCAACACACGUGCUACAAUGGUAGGUACAAACCGUCGCCAACUCGCGAGAGGGAGCUAACCGGAAAAAACCUAUCUAAGUUCAGAUUGGAGUCUGCAACUCGACUCCAUGAAGGUGGAAUCGCUAGUAAUCGCGGAUCAGAACGCCGCGGUGAAUACGUUCCCGGGCCUUGCACACACCGCCCGU